GAUUUGCACAAUAAACACCUUGACGGGACAGGAAAAUGGGAGUGCUUGGGAAAUGGAAAGUGGGUGGUGCUCUAUCUCUGACUGGCUGCACACAAGUGGUCGCAUUUAUGUGGACGAUAUGUUUGCCUUGACCUUGCCAGGACGUGCCCGGCUGCACACACACACUCACGCAAACAAUCCUCCAUGCACGCUGCCAAUGACAGUUGUCAACAUGACAGUUAUAAGGACACUGAUACAAAUGUUACGGAUGUUUGUCUUGGCCGGACAAGGAAUGUUGUUUAUAGCAUGGCUUUUGGAGCUGUUUUAGGCAGUACUGUCAGAAGUUGGUAAGUGCGUUUUAGUUGCGAAAAUCCCAUCCAAUGUCCGGCAAUCAAUGCCUAGGACCAAUGUAGAUACCGCCGAGACUAUCGCCGCUGUCUCCACCCACG